rnacentral:tRNA from 1 species
AGGCGCAUAGCUCAGUUGGUUAGAGCACCACCUUGACAUGGUGGGGGUCGUUGGUUCGAGUCCGAUUGCGCCUA